rnacentral:RNase_P_RNA from 1 species
CGAGCCGGCCGGACGGCCGCGUCGGGACCCUUCACGGGGUUCCGCCGAGGAAGGUCCGGGCUCCACAGGGCAGGGUGGUCGGUAACGCCGACCCGGGGUGACCCGCGGGACAGUGCCACAGAGAACAGACCGCCUUUCCCAUACGGGGGAGGUAAGGGUGAAACGGUGGUGUAAGAGACCACCAGCGCCUCCGGUGACGGGGGCGGCUCGGUAAACCCCACCCGGAGCAAGGUCAAGAAGGGGACCUUCGGGUUUCCGCGCGCGCCGCUUGAGGACUGCCCGUCCGAUGGUGCGCGGGUAGACCGCUUGAGACCACGAGCAAUCGUGGCCCUAGAUGGAUGGCCGUCGGUCAGCGAUGACCACAGAACCCGGCCUAUAGGCCGACUCGUCCG